AUUGAACGCUGGCGGCAUGCCUUACACAUGCAAGUCGAACGGCAGCACGGGAGCAAUCCUGGUGGCGAGUGGCGAACGGGUGAGUAAUACAUCGGAACGUGCCCAGUAGUGGGGGAUAGCCCGGCGAAAGCCGGAUUAAUACCGCAUACGACCUACGGGUGAAAGCGGGGGAUCGCAAGACCUCGCGCUAUUGGAGCGGCCGAUGUCAGCUUAGCUAGUUGGUAGGGUAAAAGCCUACCAAGGCGACGAUCUGUAGCUGGUCUGAGAGGACGACCAGCCACACUGGGACUGAGACCCGGCCCAGCCUCCUACGGGAGGCAGCAGUGGGGAAUUUUGGACAAUGGGCGCAAGCCUGAUCCAGCCAUGCCGCGUGUGGGAAGAAGGCCUUCGGGUUGUAAACCACUUUUGUCAGGGAAGAAACGGUCUGAUCUAAUAAAUCGGACUAAUGACGGUACCUGAAGAAUAAGCACCGGCUAACUACGUGCCAGCAGCCGCCGUAACAC
rnacentral:rRNA from 1 species